rnacentral:lncRNA from 1 species
CUUUCUUCUUUUCAGAAACAUCUUUAGUACUUCCUUUAGCCUUGUUUUGCCUUUUUUUUUUUUCUUUCUUCAUUUCUCUUUUCAUUGUCCUCCACCUUAGGAAUCACAUCACAGCACUAAAAAGUACCUAAAUUUGGUCACAUAUGUUGCUGGUGUACUAGUUCGUAGGAUCCCUCUGUAUAUGCCAAGCAGUUAUAUGGGCUCCURUGGCAGAAGGUUUUGGAAGACUGCAAUGGAAUUGGUAGGUUGACCAUAGAAAUAUUUUUAAUGUUACUUUCAGUGCAUCAAAUCAGAGAAUUUUUUCUUGCUUACUUAGCUCCAACCCUGUCUCACACUUUCUUCCUAUUUUGUUGGGCAAUAAUAUCCAGUAAUAACUGUCAUUUCCCUUUUCUGCAGAAGGGAGUGAAUGUUACAGCUUUCAAGAUAUCACAGAAAACAGAAGUUUCUCUAAUGUGGUGUAUAAGUAGAAACACUUUCUAUCUGCUGAGACGAGGCAUAAAGGAAGCACGAGCCUCUGAGGAGACUGACUGUGAAGCAGUGAGGUACAUCUACAACGUGAAGGGAUAGCAUGUAGCCCCAUCGUGUAGCACUGUGCUGGAUUUUCACAGGAGUUACAAAGCAACUGCAUCAGAAUGCCUAGGACUCUUUCAUUACCAAAAAAAGAAGAAGGGAAGAAAAGAAAGUGUGUGAGGGGGAGUUCUUAGGUCCARCCAGGCCAACAUGGAAAGCCCUGAGCUGAACAAGUGAGAGAAUCAGCCAACAACUUCUCCCUCAGGUCCCAAAACACCAUGCAUAAAUUCCAUAUGAAGUUCAUCUUCCAGCCCUCAGCCUUCCUGAAUGUUCAGGGAAUGACRUGUUUCUGUCUACAAAGGAUAAAACUUAUGUAGCGAAGGUAAGAUCAGAAAUAACAUGAUCAUCUUCUUUAUUAGUGCCUUGGGAUGUAUGUUCUUCACGCUGGAGACCUCUAGCACUCCUUGUGAACUUCUAAUUGGUAUUCCCCAUUGUCAGUCCCUUCGGUACAGUGCAGGCCUACUUGGCUUGCUCACUUGUGUCUUGGUAUAAAUAGCAGCACAGUGGAAGUAGUAAUCAUGAUUUGGAGUGUCUCUGUUACAUGGUGUCCACCUUGAACCUAAUUUUCAGGGAGGGAUUUCCAGCAGUUAGCAAACAUCUCCAUGUCUCAGCCUGGCCCCCAAGGUUUAGAAGGCUGUAUGUUCCCCAGAAAAAUAUAGCAUAAGCAGUAAUGAUCCACAUUUCACAAAACCAUGCUGGAUGGUGUACAAAUCUGUAUAUCAUCUGAAUCUCACCUUGGACCAAGUUUCUGGUCAUUCUCUAGAAGCUAAGCUUGCUAAUUCAUUUAAUUUGCUUCAGUGGAAGUGGGGGGACAACAGGUUAUCAGUAGUAAUAGAGUUAGAAAAGGGAAAUUACCAAAGAGAAUGUCAGCCAGCAGGUAUAUGCUUCUGCCUGAGGAAAAAGAGGAAAGGAAACA